UAGCGGAGGAAAAGAAACCAACAGGGAUUGCCCUAGUAACGGCGAGUGAAGCGGCAACAGCUCAAAUUUGAAAGCUAGCCUUCGGGUUCGCAUUGUAAUUUGUAGAGGAUGAUUUGGGGAAGCCGCCUGUCUAAGUUCCUUGGAACAGGACGUCAUAGAGGGUGAGAAUCCCGUAUGUGACAGGAAAUGGCACCCUAUGUAAAUCUCCUUCGACGAGUCGAGUUGUUUGGGAAUGCAGCUCUAAAUGGGAGGUAAAUUUCUUCUAAAGCUAAAUAUUGGCGAGAGACCGAUAGCGCACAAGUAGAGUGAUCGAAAGAUGAAAAGCACUUUGGAAAGAGAGUUAAAAAGCACGUGAAAUUGUUGAAAGGGAAGCGCUUGCAAUCAGACUUGUUUAAACUGUUCGGCCGGUCUUCUGACCGGUUUACUCAGUUUGGACAGGCCAGCAUCAGUUUCGGCGGCCGGAUAAAGGCUCUGGGAAUGUGGCCUCCACUUCGGUGGAGGUGUUAUAGCCCAGGGUGUAAUACGGCCAGCCGGGACUGAGGUCCGCGCUUCGGCUAGGAUGCUGGCGUAAUGGUUGUAAGCGACCCGUCUUGA
rnacentral:rRNA from 1 species